UUGGUGACCAGCGGAGGGAUCAUUACCGAGUUUACAACUCCCAAACCCAAUGUGAACGUUACCAAACUGUUGCCUCGGCGGGAUCUCUGCCCCGGGUGCGUCGCAGCCCCGGACCAAGGCGCCCGCCGGAGGACCAACCAAAACUCUUUUUGUAUACCCCCUCGCGGGUUUUUUUAUAAUCUGAGCCUUCUCGGCGCCUCUCGUAGGCGUUUCGAAAAUGAAUCAAAACUUUCAACAACGGAUCUCUUGGUUCUGGCAUCGAUGAAGAACGCAGCGAAAUGCGAUAAGUAAUGUGAAUUGCAGAAUUCAGUGAAUCAUCGAAUCUUUGAACGCACAUUGCGCCCGCCAGUAUUCUGGCGGGCAUGCCUGUCCGAGCGUCAUUUCAACCCUCGAACCCCUCCGGGGGGUCGGCGUUGGGGAUCGGCCCUCCCUUAGCGGGUGGCCGUCUCCGAAAUACAGUGGCGGUCUCGCCGCAGCCUCUCCUGCGCAGUAGUUUGCACACUCGCAUCGGGAGCGCGGCGCGUCCACAGCCGUUAAACACCCAACUUCUGAAAUGUUGACCUCGGAUCAGGUAGGAAUACCCGCUGAACUUAAGCAUAUCAAUAAAGCG
rnacentral:rRNA from 1 species